rnacentral:rRNA from 1 species
GAUGAACGCUGGCGGCGUGCCUAAUACAUGCAAGUCGAGCGAACGGACGAGAAGCUUGCUUCUCUGAUGUUAGCGGCGGUCGGGUGAGUAACACGUGGAUAACCUACCUAUAAGACUGGGAUAACUUCGGGAAACCGGAGCUAAUACCGGAUAAUAUUUUGAACCGCAUGGUUCAAAAGUGAAAGACGGUCUUGCUGUCACUUAUAGAUGGAUCCGCGCUGCAUUAGCUAGUUGGUAAGGUAACGGCUUACCAAGGCAACGAUGCAUAGCCGACCUGAGAGGGUGAUCGGCCACACUGGAACUGAGACACGGUCCAGACUCCUACGGGAGGCAGCAGUAGGGAAUCUUCCGCAAUGGGCGAAAGACUGACGGAGCAACGCCGCGUGAGUGAUGAAGGUCUUCGGAUCGUAAAACUCUGUUAUUAGGGAAGAACAUAUGUGUAAGUAACUGUGCACAUCUUGACGGUACCUAAUCAGAAAGCCACGGCUAACUACGUG